ACAAUGGAGAGUUUGAUCCUGGCUCAGGAUGAACGCUAGCGGCAGGCCUAAUACAUGCAAGUCGAGGGGCAGCACAGGUAGCAAUACCGGGUGGCGACCGGCAAACGGGUGCGGAACACGUACGCAACCUUCCUUUAAGCGGGGAAUAGCCCAGAGAAAUUUGGAUUAAUACCCCAUAAGAAUGUGG
rnacentral:rRNA from 1 species